rnacentral:lncRNA from 13 species
AUGAUUAUUCCGAUAACUUCUGGUUCUGACAUUUUGUGGAAACUGAACUGCGCGUACAUCCUAGUGGGGUGUCUGCUGCCUGUUGUAGACACUCACAACAUUAACUGUAAGGUGAUCCAACAUCCUAACUAUACAACGACCUAUGACCUCCAUGAACUACCUGAAUCUCUGCCUUUGGCCUAUUGCGAGACCCAGUGGUUGGAUGAAAACAUAACUGUUCUUGCCAAUGACAAAGAGAGAGACGAAAACCGUACUUUGGCUCAGACCAGUCACUCCAUCACUAUCUUAGGCUGCCUGGACAGACUGACCUACUCAAUGGACUGCACGCUGACUGUGGCACCAUUUUGGGACGUGCAGUGCCUCACUAACUGCAGUCAUGGACCUUACAAACCUGCCACCAAUCUCCACAGUAAUGACCAUGUCCCCAUCAAUCAAGAUGCUAGGAACCACACCGUUGUCUGGGUGCUGAUGGGUGUGGUUGGAGUCGCCGUGUUACUGCUGGGUGUGAAGGCAUAUGUAUUAAAGAAGAGAUGUGUCUGCAAGACAUGGAACAAGAUGUCGACCCAACACUGUUCCUCAGUGUGA